AAGACUAUACUUUCAGGGAUCAUUUCUAUAGUUCGCUACUAGAGAAGUCUCUCUGAUCGUGUAGAGCACCCGAGACCACGAGGACGAGACGGAGCACUCCCUCCUGAGCGUGAAGCCGGCCUUCGGCGUUGCCUUCCGCUUCCGCCGAUCGCCAUUGAUGAUCGUUCUUCUCUCCCCCGGGAGAGCGAGAGGGCGGGAGUGCAGUCUGAGUGGCC
ensembl:snoRNA